rfam:Asian citrus Psyllid, Diaphorina citri - Florida Strain, whole genome shotgun sequence.
GGAGAUAUGUCUGAGUGGUUUAAAGAGUAUGCUUGGAAUGCAUAAAAAGCAUAUUAAUGCUUUCAUGGGUUCGAAUCCCAUUAUCUCUU